rfam:Aedes aegypti strain Liverpool supercont1.9 genomic scaffold, whole genome shotgun sequence.
CCUCUCAUGGCGUAGUGGUUAACGCGCCCCAACUAGAGAUCGGGGAGUCGUGAGUUCGAUUCCCACUGAGAAGA